CUGGGUCUGAGCUGGAACCUGCUGCAAGCGUUUGACGGGGCACCUGGGUGGCUCAGCCGGUAAAGUGUCUGCCUUCGGCUCAGGUCAUGAUCCCAGCAUCCUGGGAUCGAGCCCCAUAUCGGGCUCCAUGCUCAGCAGGUGAAAUACCAGAAUGGCCUGACCCUUUAUUCGCUCUGCAACAUCAUUUCUGCACACAACUUCCAAGGCAAGGGGAUGCUGCAUGCUCAAUACAUACUGACUAGUCAAAUGUGGAAAGAAUGAUGCAUUUGAAGAUUAUUCUUUCAUUCUGUUUUAGUUUGGGAAUGCGGCUAGUCAAUUAUGCCUAUAGGACCAGGUGGAAGAGACGAAAUCAUUGUAUUCCUUACCAUCAAUGUGUGACUCUGUCUUGAAAAGAAUACCGGAAUCCUAUUCAGUCUUUAUUUUGGAAAGCCCUCCCUCCACCCCUGGAGGCUGAGGCAUGUGGUCAAAGAAAAUGAGUACAGAACAGAUAACCAAUUCCCCUAAUUUUUCUUUAAUUCCUGCUAUUUUCCUACUAAAUUCCCAUUGCUCUAAACUCAACUCUCCCUUGCAUGGAAUAUGUGAUCUGAAAUAGGCCCUAUAUCCAUGUUAAAUGUUAAAAAGACACUACAACAAUAGAAGAGAUAAUAGCACUUCAGUGACAAUAACAGAUAAUAGCACUUGAGUGCCUUAUGGCUGCGUAAUUAGUGACGCUUCUCUCGAGACGUUAACUUCGGUGUUAGUGGGGGUUAAGGGAAAAGAGACUGCUGCUAAUGUGCCACUGAUAUUCAGAGGGUGUUGGACACUGAAACCUAAGGCUAUCUGUUCUGAGGGCUGGCGGCCAAUUUCAGCAAUGUGGAAGCUGAUAAUUAAACAGAGAACUCUGGCUGCAAAUUAAAUGUACUAUUUGGCUUAAUGAGCAUACGCUAGAAUGAGUGACUAAGAGGUAAGAGAGACUGACCAGGGUGAUUCCGGUCGCCGCAGCCUGGAGGCGGAAGCGGACCUAACCCACGGGAGCAGGUAGCCGCCGCACGCCGGCCUCGCCUCCGUGACCGCGCGCGGCCUGCUUGCCCUGUCCGACUACCACGACUGCACCAGCUUCCACAGCCCGGAGGCCUACCUGGCGCACAAGAAGUUCUCAUGCUCCUCCCUGCCGCAGCCUUCACCCACAUCUUUGAGUGCUCCUACAGCCCCGGACUGGCACGGCCCCCGGAGACCUCAGGGGUCACUUCCGCCUGGCGCGCUGCCUGCUGGGGUCGGGGAAAAUCCCCCCCGCCGGAAGCCGUUCGGUGCGGCCCACCCUCACGCGCCGGGCUUGGCGGCCCCUGGGACAACCCCAAAGACCAAGCGCUGAAGGAGUGGCCCCUGGGCCUGGUAGAUGGCAGCCCACGUCCUGUCUACCCGGGUCUGCCGCCACCAACUCAGCCCACGGCAUCUCACCAGCGCCCGAACGCGCUGCGGGCCUUGCUGACGACGCCCCCUUUCCGUUUGGACAAAGGCGUCCAGACUACCAACGAGGGGACCACAAGUACUGCUGUCUGUCCACCGUCAUCGCCCACAAGGAGUAUUACUGUGCCUCUCAGGCCGCCGAACAUGUGAAGUGAGCCCGCCGACGCACUUGGUCCUGAAGACCAGUUUUCCUGCGCCAGCUGCUCUAUGCAGAAGCGAAGGCCGGCUUACCCACCUUUGAAGAGACGGGACAACCCUCAGGCCCGGGCUCUUGGUAGCUCUUAGUCGUAGGAACCUCACCAAGCAGAGGCAUCUUCAAUGCUGCCCAUUGCAGCCCCCGCCUGGACUGUCACUUGAAGAAGUUCGGUUUAACGAGCACAGCCUCAACAGCCUGGAGUUGAAGGAGCAACCCAUGGGCAGGAUCCUGGUGACUCUCUCAUUUCCGGGAGCCCUUGCUAAAUUCCGUUCGAAUUAGUUGGGGAGAUUCCCCUGUAUUUAUCCGAAACGUUCAUUUACCUUAGCUAGUUUGGGUUCACUAAAAUAACGCUGUCCUUAAUUAGGAAGAAUAAUAAAGAGUUCCAGAAUAUAGAUAGAUAUCUAUGUACUUUGAUUUUCUUUUGGUAAGAAAGAGGUGUACUCUUGGAUGGACAAGUUUCCAAGGAAGGCUUUUCACCAAAAAGACCAGACUGUGGAAAGAACCACAGGUUUAUGGGACGCUGGAAAAGCAAGAAGAGCUUAAAGAGGAGGAAAGCAUUUUAAAAGUUACUGAUACUUUGUGGGACGCCUGGGUGGCUCAGUCGGUUAAGCGUCUGCCUUCAGCUCAGAUCAUGAUCCCGGGGUCCUGGGAUCGAGUCCCGCAUCGGGCUCCCUGCUCCGCGGGGAGCCUGCCUCUCCCUCUGCCUCUCUCUCUCUCUAUCUCUCAUGAAUAAAUAAAUAAAAUCUUUUUUUUUUAAAGAUUUUAUUUAUUUAUUUGACAGAGAAAGACACAGCGAGAGAGGGAACACAAACGGGGAGUGGGAGAGGGAGAAGCAGACUCCCUGCCGAGCAGGGAGCCCGAUGCGGGACUCGAUCCAGGGACUCCAGGAUCAUGACCUGAGCCGAAGGCAGUCGCCCAACCAACUGAGCCACCCAGGCGCCCCUAAAUAAAUAAAAUCUUUAAAAAAAAAAAAAGUUACUGAUACUUUGUAUCAGUCGGUUAUUUCUUUUUAUAUAGUUUAGAUCAGAAUAUUCUUCCCAUGAACAAAAAUAUUCUGUGUACUUUUAAAAGGCUUCAUGAAUACACUGGUAAAAAAAACAAAAGAAAAAAAUGCUGUCAUUUUGAGGAAUUAUAAUGAUGAUUGUUAAUAUUUAUGUGCCAAAGCAAUAACAACAAAUGUUAUAUGGAAGAUAACAUUGAAUUGUAAAAAUUUCAUAAAAUAUUAUCAUGCUUGUCAUAUGAAUAAGUAAACCUAGGCUUCAUUGAUUAAAUCACAUGUCUAAAGUCAUAUAGCUGAAAUGUGGUAGAUGCGAAUUGCAAAACCAAUUGAGUCCUGUUUUAGAGUCUAUGAUCUUAACCACUCUGUUUUGUUAUACUUCGAGGAAAACUUUUCUCAGUUUCUGGAGUUAAAGUGGAAAAUUAUCCAGACUAGUGGCAAUGCAAACCAUCUGAGAAGGGAGAGUCGGUGAGUGUGGCUUUCUGAGAAACAGUAUUUCAUCACAGCUAGUAUUCUUGGGAACCCUAAUAGAGACUUUGUAAGAAAGAUUUAACAUGAAAAAAAUUUUCUUGACACUUCUGUGGAGGGUUGAUCAGAAAAAGGAUAGAAGACUCUUUUAGUAAUUAGAAUGAAAUAAAGACAUGUGGACUUCGGUUAUGGUUUCAAGAUAUGUAGAAGUCGGUAGAGGAGAAAAAGUUAUAGACAACCCUAAAUUUUGAGACUAGUGGACUAAAAAAUUAUGGUGCCAUUGGAAAUAAUAGGAAAAUGGAAGUGUCCAUUUUUUGAUGACAGAAAGAAAAAUAAUUCAUAUUUUAUUGGUGGUAAAGUCAAAUUGUGAGGAAACAUGUAAGCUAGAUCUUAUUCAAGUGCAUUAUCUACCUGUUCUGUUCCAGACAGGCCUUCUGAGUAUGGAGCUCAGAAUCUCAACAUCAAAUUAAUACUUUACCUGGUCUGACUGUGGUCUUUGUCUUGUUCUUUGGGACUGUGUCUUCUCAUCCCUUAUCCUUAUUUCAAUAGCUGGGUAGUACACUAUGUUAUACCCUGAUAUCCUGUCUUGUUUCCCACUCAUAUCCAAGGUCAUGGAGACCUGUAAAAUAACUUAACCCAGUGGUUAGAGUUUCUAACUAGCAGUAGCUCUUUGGUGCUAACUCUGUAAAUACUUAUAUCUUUGCUUACUGACUGAUAUUCUUAACUCUCGGGUGCUGUAUUUUGCCUAUCACUUAAUAUAUCAUGUUGAAAACUUUGCCUAGUAAGCUUGAUUCCAAAGAAAUAUCAUAGAUAUCUAACUAGUUUCCAGAGACUAGCAGUUUCCAGUAGGGCUAAUUCUACCUGGGCCGUAGUCCAAAUACUUAUUUUCUUUGGUUCCCCCACAUAUACAGAAUUCCUUGAUUUUAUUUAAUAGAGCAGAUGAUAUUUAUUGCUAUAAAUCUAUACAUUAAUAGCCAGUGUACCAUCUUUCCUUUCUCUUACAUUUUAAACUGGGAGUCAGAAAAAAGGAAAUCACCAAUUACUUCACAAUUUUUCUUUCUAAUUUACACAGGAAAGUUAUUCUUAUGUUUGACUUGGUCAAAUCCAUCCCUUAUAAGUAACCACUACUGAAUUUGCUAAAUAUGUUUUUCUGGCUUCCAUAUAGUUAUACAUAUGCACAUAUUCACUUUGAUACAUUUAUUAUAUUCAUUGAUUAGUUUCUUAGUUUACAAAUUGGAAUCACACUGCGCACAUUGGUUUGGGUCUUUUUUUCUGCUUAAAAAAUUAUAAUGUGUAGAUUUAAAGUUCAAUACCUAAUUCUAUUUAGUUGUUUUACUAAACUUUGAAUGGAGGUACUAUGAUAUUUUUCCCUCAUUUUAUUGUUUACUGACACUGAAACAAACUGAAACUGUUUGCUGGCUAUUUACAUUUCUUAUUACAUUAAUUUGCAACUUCAGGGCGCCUGGGUGGCUCAGUUGGUUGAGCGACUGCCUUCGGCUCAGGUCAUGAUCCUGGAGUCCCGGGAUCGAGUCCCGCAUUGGGCUCCCUGCUCGGCAGGGAGUCUGCUUGUCCCUCUGACCCUCCCCGUCUCAUGCUCUCUCUCUUUCUCUCAUUCUCUCUCUCAAAUAAAUAAAUAAAAUCUAAAAAAAAAAAAAAAUUUGCAACUUCAUUUCCUUUGUCAUUUUAUUUACUUAAUUUUACUAAAUUAUUUUGGAAAUUAUUUACUAAGUUUUAUGUCACAGAUUUUAUUAAAUAUUAUAUGUAAGAGCUAUUUAUUAAUAUGUUGCUGACAUCUUUGGUAUAAUUUAUUAAGAUAAAAUUUAUUCUUCUGUUUGAAUAUAUUUUUUAAACUUUAUGUCUUAAGUAAUUGUUCUUGGAAUGAUUAAAAAUAUAUUAAAGCAGCCACAGUCGAUUUUCUUUUUUGGAUUGUAAUUAAGCAAAGACUACAUAGAGAAUUAGACUUCAUUUAUCCAAAUGCACAUACAAUUACAACGAACUCACAACACACACAUGCUAGACUUUAAAAACAUGUAAAAUAUGUCAGCCUUGUACUGUCUGCUCUUAAUCACUGCAGUAUGCUAAAGGAAAUUUUAAAAGUACUUGGCAGACAUAAUUGAAGUACUUACAAAGAAUUUAAAAAUUGCCAAAAGUACGGUUUUAUGCAGUUAUUCAUAUGCUAUAUUUUUAAGGCACAGCUGAUUUUUAGUAUAUUUAUGGGAGACAUGUAUGAACAAGUAUAUCCACUAUGUUCUCUCCCUACAAAAUACUGUUUCAAAACUUUAUAUUGAUUAUAAAUAUGAUAGUUAUAAUGGGAGCUUAGGACUAGAUUUAUAGGCAAUAAUCAGAUUGCAGUAAACAUAUUUUUAAAAAUCAGAACUGAGGAAUUAAAAAAAAUGAAUAGGAAAUGAGAAAUUGUAGUUGGAGACAGAUGUUCAAGGAGCAAAUCCCGAAUUACUAAGUGAAUCAAGAUAAAUGUAUUUAUACAGGGAAAAUUUCUUUCACUCAUUUUCUCAUCUUUCUUCCAGCCCAAUCUCUCUUCAUUCCUCUAGGAAAAUGAAAUCAGUAAAUAGAGUUGAAUAGGUCUAUCUGCAUAUAUUAAUAGGAAUCUACACCAUUCUUUUAUUAUUUUUUUCUAUGAGUAAAUUAGAUCAGCUAGAUACUUCUUUCACUAGUCCAGAGCAUCUUGGGUCAUAAAAAAGGUAUCUCUAAGAGAGUUUCAGAGGAGAUAAUUCUUGGUGUCAGAGAAUUAUAGCCAACACAAAUGUCCAUUGUCUUCUAAGUGAAUAGUUGGUAUACAAUCAGGUUAAACAUUAUGUACAUUAGAAUCAAUAUAUGUGAAUUGAUGAAUGAAUAUCCAAUAUUUAUUGAAUAUUUAUAAUAUGCUAAAUACAAUGAUGAGCCAAACCAGAAAGCUUCUUUCAUGAAACUCAAAUAUAUUUUAACAAAAACACAUUUCAAUUGGUUUUAUAACAAUAUAUAAAGAAUAUAAUUGUAUAGUAUAAAGAAUGGGCUUUGGGUUCUCAGAUAGCUAGAUUCUUGUCCCAGCAUUGCCACUUACUAGCUCUCUAACCUUGGGCAAGUUAUUUGACCUCUUAAUUAUGUUGUCAGAGAUUAUUUCCUUCUGUCAUUCCAGAAAGUAUAAUGGGAAGAACACUGGACUAGAGGGCGCCUGGGUGGCUCAGUUGGUUAAGCAACUGCCUUCGGCUCAGGUCAUGAUCCUGGAGUCCCUGGAUCGAGUCCCGCAUCGGGCUUCCUGCUAGGCAGGGAGUCUGCUUCGUCCUCUGACCCUAUCCCCUCUCAGGUGUUCUCUCUCUCUCAUUCUCUCUCUCUCAAAUAAAUAAAUAAAAUCUUAAAAAAAAAAAAAAAGAA